rnacentral:tRNA from 1 species
AAAAAUGCAGCCUCGGGCCUCAGUUUUGCAAAAACUGUAGAGGGGUCAACCCCAUUUUUU